CCUGCCUGGGAAGUGCAAGAUUCUGAGUUUGAUCCCCGUUACUGGAAGAAAAAAACAGUCCAUUAACGUUUAAUUGGAAGUGGCGAAUGAAUUUAAGCCUUUGAAAUUACAUCAAAGUAUUUUAAACGUUUUACUAAAUUUUGUAUUAAACUUGAAAAUAAUAGAAUUAGACAAUUACAACAAAUGUUUGCGUUCCAGUAAUUUUUCUCAAAUACAUUCUCUCUGAAAUUUAGCAAGCUUUAAUAAAGUUUACACAGGAAAAACUUAGUGACUUUACUAUUAGUGUGACCUUUCCUUUACCUGCUCAGUGUAGUAGCACCAUUAUCUACAAUUUUUCUUUCCCUGGUUUCUGUUGCCUGCAAUGAAUGUCCAAAACUAUGCAGUGGGAAAUUCCAGAAAUAAACUGUGCAUAAACUUUUAAGUUGCAUGUCCUUCUAAAUAACAUAAUGAUAGUCCCAGCCCAGUGCUGUAUUUGCUACCUACCCACCAGUGAGCAGCCAUCUUGGUGAUCAGAUUGUCUCCAAAUCAUUGUGUUUGAGUAAUCUUUAUUUUAUUUAAUCGUAGGCCAAAGCAUAAAACUAGUAAUGCUGAGCAUACUGAAAGAACCUGUAAAGCACUUCCUAUAAGUGAAAGGGUGAACGUUUUUGAUUUAAAGUAAAAAAGAACCUAUGCUGAGGUUUCUAAGAACUAUGGCAAGGACAAAUAAAAAACAUACAUAGUUUUGUGCUGAGAUUUCAGGCAUCCACUAAGGUUUUUGGAAUGGUAAAAGGGUAUUAUUGUGUUACAAUAUGGAUAUUCGUGCUCUGGUACACUGGAAAUUGUUUUCAAAGUUCAUCUUGGAAUCAAGUGUUAAAAUGUUUUGGAAGGAGGAGAGUAGCAUUUCCAAAUGCUGACAAAUGUUGCAGGAAACAUGGGACUGAGAAGAGACCAGAAGUGAAAAAGUUGAGUUAGAAUCAGAGAUGCCAACAGAUUCAUUCUUUUUGUCUUAAGAGUUAAUAAUUAAGAGUUUAAGCAUCUGACACAACAUGAAAGGAUUUUCAGAAGGAUUUUUAUUAUCAUAGAAAUGAAGUUUUUUCUAGGAGUGAUAUUUUUACCCUUAUCCCCCAAUUAACUCAGGUUUCAUGAGGUUAAUCAGAAUUUUAGUACAUGCAUAAGGCGAACUCUUACUGGUGUUUUCUAGAGUCAGAAAAUAUUUCUUUAUGCCAGUAAGAAUUAGGAGUGGAGUAUUCUUCCUUGAAGGCUUAUCCCACUUUUUCUUAUUUCCUGGCUGGCUAAUGCCCGCAACUAGUAUUGAGUACAUGAAAUGGCCCAGGCAGCUUUUUAAGUAUGCAGUAAGUCCCCAUCUUAGGAAAGAGUUCUGUUCCAGGAGAACUUUCUUAAAUCAUAUUUGUUAGUAAUUUCAACAAAAUCUUAAAUGCCUUUGACAAAAAUAUACAAUGUAAAGCAUUAAAAAAUUUGCAUGUUCCAUCAUCUUGUCCUUGUUCUUUGGAAUUGUGCAAAUGGGCAAAUUAUUCAUAAGAAUGAGUAAUGUCUAUCAUCAUUUCAUCUCUGUACAAUCUCACUUAUUUUCACUUGUUUCCAUGUUUAUUGCUUUGUGCUUGCUAGCAGUCCCUUUUACGUCACUACUGCUUUUCCUCUUGUUUCUAGACAUUCUGGGCUCCGAUUAAGCACUGCACUGCUGUACACUAUCACACUGUACAGUAAGUACCCAGCAGCACAACUAUGACAAUGUCUGGCAGACGUGAGCUCCUUCCAUGAUUUGUUUGCCUCUACAAAUGUGUUCAUAAUGUGAGGCAUUUAUUGUUGUGAACUUCCCCUGAGAACUACUGCUGUAUCAUAUAUUUUGGUGCUGUGUUACUUUACAAGCAAUGGAUUCUCCAAUAGUAAUAAACAAACUUCAAACUGUUGCCUGUGAUACUCUACCUACCUUGGGAUCAUGGAAGAUUUAAAAAUGCUUGCUUUGGCUCAAAAUUCUGCUAACUGAGCAGUGGCUGAGAAUGAGGAGCAAAUCUCAGCACAAGGCAUGGGACUUGGAGGCAUCCUGAUUAUUUCUGGAAAGUUGCUGUUUGGCUUCUUCCACUAAGGACUCACCUUUUUGAGGGCACAAAAGAUUCUGAAGAGUUUGCACCACUUGUCAUCUUGAAGGGGAACUUCUAAACCAAGAAUAAAGAGGCUCUCCUGAAAAUAUAUGCCUUCUUUGCCUAUUCGGUUAAGACAUCAUUUUUGUGCUGCUGUUCUUGAGACUCCUGUUGCUUUGUUGGACUGAUUUUAGCUACAGCAUGAUGUCACAAUAGUCCUAGCCCACAAAAGCAACAGUCUAUACCUGAAUUUGGAGAGAACUCAAGGUCUUCAGAAGCUUGAGGCACUAUCCUGAAAGGACAUAAAAACUUAUAGCUACAGAGCUAUUUUGCAACAAUGAGGUACAAGGCCAAGAAAAUUGUAAAGAUACUGACUCAACAGAAAAGAGACUGACUUUGGAUGGUAGAACUGCUAAAACAACCUUUGAACCACUACUUUUAUUUAUUUUUUGAACCACUACUUUUAAAUGCCUUUAUUGUUUAAGCCAGGGACAGCUAGACUUUUUGUUACUUGCAGUGGAAUGCAUUCUACCUGAAAUACCAUACAAAUGCAGGGCCAGUAUUGUAGCAGAGCCAGCACACACUGACUUAUGAAAUGAUUGUAUCUAUUUUUUCCUAAUUCCACAUUCAGUGAUUUAAAAUAGCUUCAAAUCAUCUGUGGUAGAAGCAUUUAUUCUAUGUGAAUAGGUCAAAGAUGUAUAUGAGAUUUGUUUUCAGAGAGCUGAUUGUUAAGCAUUUAACAGCAACAUACCUCUAGGUGACUUACCUUACUCCUCCAAUUAAUGUAGUUACAACUACUCUGCUAGCUAUAUCUUUAAGUGUACUUUUAAUAGCAAAUGGGUAGUGAAUUGUAUGAGGAUAUUUUUAAGUUGUAGAAUCUUAGAAGUAGAAGAAGCUAGUACAUUUUAAAAAAUCAAAAUUAAGUAUCAAUUUGUUUAAAAACUAAGCUAAUCUUAUAUGUAACCUGACAUUACAUAACUAGUUCAUAGCAACUCAAGUCUUAUUAUGGCUUGUAUCUAGAUGUCCCCCCAAAGCUUUCUGUGGUCAUAGAUGGGGCUUUUCAGAG